rnacentral:rRNA from 1 species
UACGUAGGGUGCGAGCGUUAAUCGGAUUUACUGGGCGUAAAGCGUGCGCAGGCGGCCCGUUAAGACAGGUGUGAAAUCUCUGGGCUCAACCUAGGAAUUGCGCUUGUGACUGGCGGGCUCGAGUACGGUAGAGGGGGGUGGAAUUCCUGGUGUAGCAGUGAAAUGCGUAGAGAUCAGGAGGAACACCGAUGGCGAAGGCAGCCCCCUGGGCCUGUACUGACGCUCAUGCACGAAAGCGUGGGGAGCAAACAGG